rnacentral:rRNA from 1 species
GGAGGGAGCUAGCGUUGUUCGGAAUUACUGGGCGUAAAGGGCGCGUAGGCGGCCGAUUAAGUUAGGUGUGAAAGCCCUGGGCUCAACCCAGGAACUGCGCUUAAUACUGAUUGGCUUGAGUUCGGUAGGGGGAAAUGGAAUUCCUAGUGUAGAGGUGAAAUUCGUAGAUAUUAGGAAGAACACCAGAGGCGAAGGCGAUUUCCUGGGCCGAUACUGACGCUGAGGCGCGAAAGCGUGGGGAGCAAACAGGAUUAGAUACCCUGGUAGUCCACGCUGUAAACGAUGAGUGCUAGACGUCGGUGGUUUAUCCCAUCGGUGUCGUAGCUAACGCGAUAAGCACUCCGCCUGGGGGACUACGAUCGCAAGAUUA